rnacentral:rRNA from 1 species
UACGGAGGGUGCAAGCGUUAUCCGGAUUCACUGGGUUUAAAGGGUGCGUAGGUGGCUUUGUAAGUCAGUGGUGAAAUCUUAGAGCUUAACUCUAAAAACUGCCAUUGAUACUGCUUAGCUUGAAUCAAGUAGAGGUGGAUGGAAUAUUACAUGUAGCGGUGAAAUGCUUAGAUAUGUAAUAGAACACCGAUUGCGAAGGCAGUUCACUAUGCUUGUAUUGACACUGAGGCACGAAAGCGUGGGGAUCAAACAGG